rnacentral:tRNA from 1 species
GAGGAUAUAGCCCAGUGGUAAAGUGCCUGCUUAGCAUGCAUGAGGUCCUGGGUUCAAUCCCCAGAACUUCC